CAGUCGCCGCGGUAAUACGUAGGGUGCAAGCGUUAAUCGGAAUUACUGGGCGUAAAGCGUGCGCAGGCGGUUUGUUAAGACAGAUGUGAAAUCCCCGGGCUCAACCUGGGAACUGCAUUUGUGACUGUAUAGCUAGAGUACGGCAGAGGGGGAUGGAAUUCCGCGAGUAGCAGUGAAAUGCGUAGAUAUGCGGAGGAACACCGAUGGCGAAGGCAAUCCCCUGGGCCUGUACUGACGCUCAUGCACGAAAGCGUGGGGAGCAAACAGGAUUAGAUACCCGAGUAGUCCCUGUCUCUUAUAC
rnacentral:rRNA from 1 species